rnacentral:rRNA from 1 species
GAUGAACGCUGGCGGCGUGCUUAACACAUGCAAGUCGAACGGAAAGGCCCAAGCUUGCUUGGGUACUCGAGUGGCGAACGGGUGAGUAACACGUGGGUGAUCUGCCCUGCACUUCGGGAUAAGCCUGGGAAACUGGGUCUAAUACCGGAUAGGACCACCUCUUGGAUGUUGUGGUGGAAAGUUUUUUCGGUGUGGGAUGAGCUCGCGGCCUAUCAGCUUGUUGGUGGGGUAAUGGCCUACCAAGGCGUCGACGGGUAGCCGGCCUGAGAGGGUGUACGGCCACAUUGGGACUGAGAGACGGCCCAGACUCCUACGGGAGGCAGCAGUGGGGAAUAUUGCACAAUGGGCGCAAGCCUGAUGCAGCGACGCCGCGUGGGGGAUGACGGCCUUCGGGUUGUAAACUCCUUUCGCUAGGGACGAAGCGUUUUGUGACGGUACCUGGAGAAGAAGCACCGGCUAACUACGUG